CCCUUAGAUGUUCUGGGCCGCACACGCGCUACACUGAAGGAGGCAGCGUGUACUCCUGGAUCGAAAGAUUUGGGUAACCCGCGAAUCUCCUUCGUGCUAGGGAUUGAGGUUUGCAAUUAUCCUUCAUGAACGAGGAAUUCCCAGUAAGUGCAAGUCAUAAGCUUGCGCUGACUACGUCCCUGCCCUUUGUACACACCGCCCGUCGCUACUACCGAUUGAAUGAUUUAGUGAGGACUUCGGACUGGGACCGAUGCUGCUUUCGGGCUGCGUCGGUAUUCUGGAAAGAUGUCCAAACUGUAUCAUUUAGAGGAAGUAAAAGUCGUAACA
rnacentral:rRNA from 1 species